AUGCAGUGAUGAGUUUUUAGAUUACAGAAAUUUCAUGUUGAAUACUUUUCGAGCUUUUUAACUCUGAGCUAU
rnacentral:snoRNA from 1 species